rnacentral:tRNA from 1 species
GCAAUCGUGGCCGAGUGGUUAAGGCGAUGGACUAGAAAUCCAUCGGGGUCUCCCCGCACAGGUUCGAAUCCUGUCGACUGCG